UCCCGAGCGUUNUCCGGAUUUAUUGGGCGUAAAGCGAGCGCNGGCGGUUAGAUAAGUCUGAAGUUAAAGGCUGUGGCUUAACCAUAGUACGCUUUGGAAACUGUUUAACUUGAGAGCAAGAGGGGAGAGUGGAAUUCCAUGUGUAGCGGUGAAAUGCGUAGAUAUAUGGAGGAACACCGGUGGCGAAAGCGGCUCUCUGGCUUGUAACUGACGCUGAGGCUCGAAAGCGCGNGGAGCAAACAGGAUUAGAUACCCUGGUAGUNCACGCCGUAAACGAUGAGUGCUAGGUGUUAGACCCUUUCCGGGGUUUAGUGCCGCAGCUAACGCAUUAAGCACUCCGCCUGGGGAGUACGACCGCAAGGUUGAAACUCAAAGGAAUUGACGGGGCCCGCACAAGCGGUGGAGCAUGUGGUUUAAUUCGAAGCAACGCGAAGAACCUUACCAGGUCUUGACAUCCCUCUGACCGCUCUAGAGAUAGAGUUUUCCUUCGGGACAGAGGUGACAGGUGGUGCAUGGUUGUCGUCAGCUCGUGUCGUGAGAUGUUGGGUUAAGNCCCGCAACGAGCGCGACCCCUAUUGUUAGUUGCCAUCAUUUAGUUGGGCACUCUAGCGAGACUGCCGGUAAUAAACCGGAGGAAGGUGGGGAUGACGUCAAAUCAUCUUGCCCCUUAUGACCUGGGCUACACACGUGCUACAAUGGCUGGUACAACGAGUCGCAAGCCGGUGACGGCAAGCUAAUCUCUUAAAGCCAGUCUCAGUUCGGAUUGUAGGCUGCAACUCGCCUACAUGAAGUCGGAAUCGCUAGUAAUCGCGGAUCAGCACGCCGCGGUGAAUACGUUCCCGGGCCUUGU
rnacentral:rRNA from 1 species